rnacentral:rRNA from 1 species
UACGUAGGGUGCAAGCGUUAUCCGGAAUUAUUGGGCGUAAAGAGCUCGUAGGCGGUUUGUCGCGUCUGGUGUGAAAGUCCAUCGCUUAACGGUGGAUCUGCGCCGGGUACGGGCAGGCUAGAGUACGACAGGGGAGACUGGAAUUCCCGGUGUAACGGUGGAAUGUGUAGAUAUCGGGAAGAACACCAAUGGCGAAGGCAGGUCUCUGGGUCGUCACUGACGCUGAGGAGCGAAAGCGUGGGGAGCGAAC